UACGGAAGGGUGCAAGCGUUACUCGGAAUUACUGGGCGUAAAGCGUGCGUAGGUUGGUUUGUUAAGUCUGUUGUGAAAGCCCCGGGCUCAACCUGGGAAUGGCAAUGGAUACUGGCAAGCUAGAGUGCGGUAGAGGGUAGUGGAAUUCCCGGUGUAGCGGUGAAAUGCGUAGAGAUCGGGAGGAACACCAGUGGCGAAGGCGGCUACCUGGACCAGCACUGACACUGAGGCACGAAAGCGUGGGGAGCAAACAGG
rnacentral:rRNA from 1 species